rnacentral:rRNA from 1 species
UACGUAGGGCCCGAGCGUUAUCCGGAAUUAUUGGGCGUAAAGAACGUGUAGGUGUUCUACCAAGUCGGUCGUUAAAUCUUAGAGCUCAACUCUAAGGCUGCGAGCGAAACUGGUGGAAUUGAGGUUUACAGGGGCAAGCAGAAUUCCAGGAGUAGGGGUGAAAUCCGUUGAUACCUGGAGGAAUACCAAUGGCGAAGGCAGCUUGCUGGGUAAUACCUGACACUGAGACGUGAAAGCGUGGGGAGCAAACGGG